UUGACAUUGACCUUUAAGUUUUCUGCUUUGUGUUCUGCAGUUACGCUGUUUUGUUGAUUGAUAAUAAGGACCAAGAAGGUCAAUCACAGGUUCGUUGAGCUGCACUUCCGAUUGCCGAGGAGGAAAAUCUGGAGAUUGAUGCAAAAUUCUGAGCCUUAGUUGCCAUUGGAUCAUGGAUUUGAAUUUUGAAAUUUACAUCAUAGUUAGAAUGGUGAAAAGGAUGCAAUGGUUGAGGGUCGCACUUUGACAAGCCAGCCACUUUUCUUUUCGACAGUUUUAGCAGAAUAUAUGAGAAUAUUUUUACUAGGGCGUCAAUUGUAGCAUUCAAACUUGGUGAAUGAGAGCAGAAAACAUGUUAUCAAGGCCUCAAAUUGUAUCUUCUCCAAAAAAAGAAAAAAAAUGUCCUAGAUUGUACCAUUUAAGUUCAUGAGUAACUAAUGGAAUGAAUCAAAGCAUGUAACAGAAUGUAUCGCUUGUCAUGAAUUACUAUG